rnacentral:rRNA from 1 species
GUCGUCAGCUCGUGUCGUGAGAUAGUUGGGUUAAGUCCCGUAACGAGCGCAACCCUUGUCCUUAGUUACCAGCACGUUAUGGUGGGCACUCUAAGGAGACUGCCGGUGACAAACCGGAGGAAGGUGGGGAUGACGUCAAGUCAUCAUGGCCCUUACGGCCUGGGCUACACACGUGCUACAAUGGUCGGUACAAAGGGUUGCCAAGCCGCGAGGUGGAGCUAAUCCCAUAAAACCGAUCGUAGUCCGGAUCGCAGUCUGCAACUCGACUGCGUGAAGUCGGAAUCGCUAGUAAUCGUGAAUCAGAAUGUCACGGUGAAUACGUUCCCGGGCCUU